ensembl:lncRNA
CCAGGUUAUUGAGAGUUAAAUGAAGUUUUAACAGUAAUAUGGUUAAUGACUAAAAGGGGGGGAUGUAGUGGAAUGUCAGGCCACUAGGGUGCGCUUGACCAUUGAGUAAUGACUGAUGUACGAGGCUGGAUAUAGUUAAUAAAGUACGUGUGCUGCUGAAGAAUACACGCUGUCGUUGCUGUCUGGUCUAACAGAGCUAGUUCACAUCAUACCAUUGUACAACUUGAUUUAAAAUGUAAACAUCAGAGCAAGUUCCAACACUAUGUGAAUGUAGCAGGACGGAUCAAAGCUGACGUCACUGCACCGUCUGUUUACUUCUCCGUCUAAUUUUCAUGUAAUUAGGUGGCACUCUGUCAGUCUGCCCAGGCCCUAUAAAUUAACAACCAGGUGCCAACUGGGGAUGCGUCAUUCUCCAGAGUACCUGUUGCGUCAAGCGCAGGUCCACCAGUUUGUGGUAGUGAUGACCAUGUUUGGUUGGGUCCUCGUUCCCAGUUGAUGCACCGCAUCCUGUUUCACUCCGAGUCGGAUCAUACGCUCGUUGUGCGCUACAUACAGGUAUGUAUGGGUCCUUGCUCUGCACGAACGGUUGAGGUGUUUAGCUAACUACUCACCCAUACUUUUAUACUCUAUUUAGCUAGCGGACGCAUAGUCGCCGCUGCCUGUGUCAUCCUGCGUUCCGUGCCUUCAGAUGCUUGGUAGGUUACCUUGCUGUUUAUUUUAAUAUGUAUUUUUAGCGGUUGUGUGGCGGUAAGGGUCUUGCAUCUUUCCCAUAGGUAUCAGCCUGGGUGAGUUGACAACGCUGCUGUUUUGCUGCUAGCUCGUUUUGCUGUUAGCGCUUUUGCUUAUAGUUACUGUUUGAUGUUCGUCUGGCUUCACGUCUCGUCCUCCUUGCAAGCAGCUGCUGUCCGCAAGAGCUGCUGCUGCGUGUGUGUCUGUGUUUGUCGUUUUGGUUCUGUUUGUUUUGAGUUCAAUGUUCUGUUGGCUGUGCUAGGUGCCCAAUGCUAGGUAGUCCAUCCUUCCACACCAUAGUGAUGGUAGUAUCUCCCGUGUGUGAUUUUGAGCUAAUUUGAUGUGUGUGUGUGUGUGUGUGUGUGUGUGUGUGUGUGUGUGUGAAUUCACCUUUCACUAGGGGUGUGUGUGAGCAGUGCACGUUUGCUUUGCCCUCCUGGAGGUAAUACCCCACCUAAGUCCUGCCUGACUGUGGGACAACAAAUGACUGGAGCACAAAAAGACUGGACUACCAAUGCAAAGAUACCAACUGAAACAAUGCAUGUAUGGCAUAUCUGACCAUCAGUUAAGCUAAUUCAAUGUAUGAGAUGUCUAACAUUCAUCAUAAUUCUACAAAUCUGCAAAAGAAAUUUCCAGUUAACUAUUGUCAUCAACAGUGAGAUCUGAAAAGGUGGGAGGAUUGCAAAGGUGUAAGAAAGUAUAAUAAUUACUUUUAAAACAAAUAAAUACUAAUUACUUUAUAAAUACUACCCAUACUACUUCUAAUAAUACGCUUUGUUUGUAUCCACAUUCUCUUAUUUCCUAAUAAAAAUGAAUUAGCCUACUUCUAUAAACAGCCAAUGCGGACGAAAGAGCUUCUGAGGGCAAAAGCUUAUCAGAAUUGUAUUUAUUGCCAAGUAGGUUUACACCUACCUGGAAUUUGCUUUGGUGUAUAGGUGCAUCCAGUAAACAUAAAAAUAAAAACAAGUACUACACAUAAGAAAAAAAACAAUAUAUAAGAUACAAAUAUAUAAAAUGUAUAUAAAAAAGUAAAGUAAAAAGUAAAAUGCAAAACAGGAGUGCAAUGUGAUUGUGCAAUGUAAUGUAAUGUGUGUUAAUUUAACACAGACUUGAGGAGUGGGGGC